UCAUUUAAGCGCCUGGACUUUUACAGUUGACGAGGACAGUAGUGAUCGAAAAAUUCGGCGGAUGCUACUGCGGACAUGUGAUUCGUUAGAUAUAUAGCAAAAAGUAAAAUCAAGAUUAUAACAAAGGAUAU
rnacentral:ncRNA from 1 species